AAACAAAAGAAGAGUGUUUAUAAGAGUGACUCAGCAGUGCUUUUGCACUGAGUGAUUAAAACAAGUGAUUAGUAUAGAAAGAAAAUGAAAAUAAUUCAAUAAUGUGAUAAAGUUUAAACAUGUAUUCCUCUUGUUAAGUUGGCUGUUGAGCUGUGGGUUUAUGCAAAUUAGCUGGAGUGAGUGAGUGACAAAGACACUUCCUGUGUGCGUGUGUGUCGGAGGCUUUCGGUUCAGUUCAAGAGAGAGCAGUGGCUGUUGAAGAGUAUUGGGAGAAAUAUAUAAUGGCCUGGAAGAGAGUGAACGGACGGCGCUGACAAAAUUACCAAGAAAUUCCAAGGAUCCAGAGUUCAAUGGAGCAACGAGUUGGAGAAGAUUUGACAUGAUGAUUAAAUUGAUUUUGUUCUUUAAACACAGGUUUUCAGGGCUAAAGCAAAACACCGGAGAGGAGAAUUGCUGAGCGGUUCUGGGAAAUGAAAUGACUAACCUUUUUUCCUUUUAAUUUGUUAAGCUUGGGUGGAGAUGUUGAGUUUUUUGCCACAUGAGAUGUGUCAAAAAGAGAGGGAUUUAAGAUUUAAUUUGUUUAAUGUGAAAGGGUUUUACUAGGAUUUUAUAAUGAUUGGGGUUGUUUGAUAAUUUAGAUAUGGUAAAACUGAGGCAGAGAUUGUUAAUUCUAAAGAAAGGAGUAAAAUGAACUGAAUUCUGUUUAGAAGAUAAAUUGCUGGGGUUAAAAAGAAGUUGUACACCAAAUUAAAGGGGAAAUUGUGGGAAUAAAGGAUAUGCUUUGGGGAAAAUAGUGAACAUUUUAUGAGUAGAAAAUGUGGGAUUUUUCUUUUGAUUUUUAGGAUAAGUGGUAACAGUGACAUAAUGUUAGAAUGUUGUUAUUUUUAGGGUAGUGGAGAGCUUUUUAUGAGGA
ensembl:lncRNA